rnacentral:lncRNA from 10 species
AUGUAUUCUUGUUAUUAAUUCCUUAUAGGCAGUUUCCAGAUAUUUUCUCCCAUUUUAUGUGUUGUCUCUUCACUUUGUUGAUUGUUUCACUUCCUGUUUAGAAGCUCGUUAACUGAUGUGAUUCCAUUUGUUCAUUUUUGCGUUGGCUGCCUGUGCUUGUGGGGUAUUACUCAAGACAUCUUUGUUCAGUUUAAUUUCCUGGAGAGUUUCACCAAUGUUUUUUGUAGUAGUUUCAUAGUUUGAUGUCUUAGAUUUGUCUCUAAUCCGUUUUGAUUUAAUUUUUUUUAGAUGGCAAGAGAUAGAGGUCUAGUUUUAUUCCUCUGAAUAUGGAUAUUCAGUUUUUGUAACACAAUUUGUUGAAGAGACUCCCCCAUUAUAUUGAGGCAGGAAAAUAGAGUCUGGAGGCAGAAAACAUAAGACCACUUCACACUUCACCUUUCCAUAGGGCAUGGGCCAUAAAUAACUUUGUAACUUUAUUUCAUCCUCUCCAUUUACAUAGGGC